AGUGAACGCUGGCGGUAGGCCUAACACAUGCAAGUCGAACGGCAGCACCGUAAGAGCUUGCUCUUACGGGUGGCGCGUGGCGGACGGGUGCGGUAUACAUCGGAAUCUACUUUUUCGUGGGGGAUAACGUAGGGAAACUUACGCUGAUACCGCAUACGACCUCCGUAUGACAGCCGGCGAUCUUCGGACCUUGCGCGAUUGAAUGAGCCCAGGUCGGAUUAGCUCGUUGGCGGGGUAGAGGCGCACCAAGGCGACGAUCGGUAGCGGGUCUGAGAGGAAGGUCAGGUAGACUGGAUGUGAGGCUCGGCCCAGACUCUGACGCGAAGCAACAGCGGAGAAUAUUGGACGAGGGGCGCAAGGGUGAUCCAGCCAUACCGGGUGGGGGAAGAAGGCGCUCGGGCUGGAGAGCCAUGAUGGUGGUAAAGAAGAGCAGCUCUUUAAUAGCCCGCUGUUCUGACGGUACCCGAAGAAGAAGCACCGGCUAACUUCGUG
rnacentral:rRNA from 1 species